GCACAAGCGGUGGAGCAUGUGGUUUAAUUCGACGCAACGCGCAGAACCUUACCAGCCCUUGACAUGUCCGGGACCGGUCGCAGAGAUGUGACCUUCUCUUCGGAGCCCGGAACACAGGUGCUGCAUGGCUGUCGUCAGCUCGUGUCGUGAGAUGUUGGGUUAAGUCCCGCAACGAGCGCAACCCCCGUCCUUAGUUGCUACCAUUCAGUUGAGCACUCUAAGGAGACUGCCGGUGAUAAGCCGCGAGGAAGGUGGGGAUGACGUCAAGUCCUCAUGGCCCUUACGGGCUGGGCUACACACGUGCUACAAUGGCGGUGACAAUGGGAUGCUAAGGGGCGACCCCUCGCAAAUCUCAAAAAGCCGUCUCAGUUCGGAUUGGGCUCUGCAACUCGAGCCCAUGAAGUUGGAAUCGCUAGUAAUCGUGGAUCAGCACGCCACGGUGAAUACGUUCCCGGGC
rnacentral:rRNA from 1 species